AUUGAACGCUGGCGGCAGGCCUAACACAUGCAAGUCGAACGGUAACAGGAAACAGCUUGCUGUUUCGCUGACGAGUGGCGGACGGGUGAGUAAUGUCUGGGAAACUGCAUCUGAUACUGGCAAGCUUGAGUCUCGUAGAGGGGGGUAGAAUUCCAGGUGUAGCGGUGAAAUGCGUAGAGAUCUGGAGGAAUACCGGUGGCGAAGGCGGCCCCCUGGACGAAGAUUGACGCUCAGGUGCGAAAGCGUGGGGAGCAAACAGGAUUAGAUACCCUGGUAGUCCACGCCGUAAACGAUGUCGACUUGGAGGUUGUGCCCUUGAGGCGUGGCUUCCGGAGCUAACGCGUUAAGUCGACCGCCUGGGGAGUACGGCCGCAAGGUUAAAACUCAAAUGAAUUGACGGGGGCCCGCACAAGCGGUGGAGCAUGUGGUUUAAUUCGAUGCAACGCGAAGAACCUUACCUGGUCUUGACAUCCACGGAAGUUUUCAGAGAUGAGAAUGUGCCUUCGGGAAC
rnacentral:rRNA from 1 species